rnacentral:snRNA from 1 species
GNGCUUGCUUUGGCAGCACAUAUACUAAAAUUAGAACAAUACCAAGAAGAUUAGCAUGGCCCCUCUGUGAGGAUGACACACAAAUUCAUGAAGCAUUCUGUAUUAAA